rnacentral:rRNA from 1 species
UAGAGUUUGAUCCUGGCUCAGGAUGAACGCUGGCGGAGUGCCUAACACAUGCAAGUCGAGCGGCAGCACGAGUAGUUUACUACUUGGUGGCGAGCGGCGGACGGCUGAGUAACGCGUGGGAACGUGCCCCCAAAGUGAGGAAUAACUGCCCGAAAGGGUAGCUAAUGCCGCAUAUGAUCUUCGGAUUAAAGUAUUUAUUUACGCUUUGGGAGCGGCCCGCGUCCGAUUAGGUAGUUGGUGAGGUAAAGGCUCACCAAGCCCACGAUCGGUAGCUGGUCUGAGAGGAUGACCAGCCAGACUGGAACUGAGACACGGUCCAGACUCCUACGGGAGGCAGCAGUGAGGAAUCUUCCACAAUGGACGAAAGUCUGAUGGAGCAACUCCGCGUGCAGGAUGAAGGCCUUCGGGUCGUAAACUGCUUUUAUGAGUGAAGAAUAUGACGGUAACUCAUGAAUAAGGGUCGGCUAACUACGUGCCAGCAGCCGCGGUCAUACGUAGGACCCAAGCGUUAUCCGGAGUGACUGGGCGUAAAGAGUUGCGUAGGUGGUUAGUAAAGUGAAUAGUGAAAUCUGGCGGCUCAACCGUACAGGCUAUUAUUCAAACUCACUAACUCGAGAAUGGUAGAGGUAACUGGAAUUUCUAGUGUAGGAGUGAAAUCCGUAGAUAUUAGAAGGAACACCAAUGGCGUAGGCAGGUUACUGGACCAUUUCUGACACUGAGGCACGAAAGCGUGGGGAGCGAACCGGAUUAGAUACCCUGGUAGUCCAUGCCGUAAACGUUGGGCACUAGGUGUGGGGGACAUUCCACGUUUUCCGCGCCGUAGCUAACGCAUAAGUGCCCCGCCUGGGAGUACGGCCGCAAGGCUAAACUCAAAGGAAUUGACGGGGGCCCGCACAAGCGGCGGAGCAUGCGGAUUAAUUCGAUGCAACGCGAAGAACCUUACCAAGGCUUGACAUGGGCCAGACCGCCGCAGAAAUGUGGUUUCCCCUUUGGGGCUGGUUCACAGGUGGUGCAUGGUUGUCGUCAGCUCGUGUCGUGAGAUGUUGGGUUAAGUCCCGCAACGAGCGCAACCCUCGUUCUAUGUUGCCAGCACGUGAUGGUGGGGACUCAUAGGAGACUGCCGGGGUCAACUCGGAGGAAGGUGGGGACGACGUCAAAUCAUCAUGCCCCUUAUGUCUUGGGCUUCACGCAUGCUACAAUGGCCGGUACAAAGGGUUGCGAUACUGUGAGGUGGAGCUAAUCCCAAAAAGCCGGUCUCAGUUCGGAUUGGGGUCUGCAACUCGACCCCAUGAAGUCGGAGUCGCUAGUAAUCGCAGAUCAGCAACGCUGCGGUGAAUACGUUCCCGGGCCUUGUACACACCGCCCGUCAAGUCACGAAAGUUGGUAACACCCGAAGCCGGUGGCCUAACCCCUUGUGGGAGGGAGCUGUCGAAGGUGGGACUGGCGAUUGGGACUAAGUCGUAACAAGGUAACC